CAUCUUUGUAAAUACGGGCUUUUAUUCACUGCCAGCUCCAGGAUGGAAGGAGGGGGUGAAUCAUGCACAGCCUUGGUCUACCCUCCAACACUAGGCAGUGCUGGACAGGGGACUCAGAAAGGGAAGCAGAGUGGGCUGUUGAUGUCUGGAAAGCUCCCUCACCAGAGUGCCCAGUGGGUCACACAGCAUCAUGGGGGAUGAGCUGGGGCUGGAGUCGGCUGUAUCUGACACCAGACCCUCCAUUCAAGCUCCCUUGAUGACAACGCCCACAACAGGGUCUGGCUGAUGCUCCGUUCUGCCACGACUCCUGCUGGGUGAUCGUGGGACAGGUCUCCGCCCCUCGCUGGGGUCUCAGCUGCUUUGUCUGUAAAAUGGAGGAGGCUCUGGACUUCUCAGGGGCUGGGUCUCUUGGGCCCCCAAGGCGGCGGCCCCGGCCGGCAUCCAGAGGCCUUGGUGUGGAGUG
rnacentral:lncRNA from 10 species